GUGGAACUUGACAUGGAUGCUCAGAGUGAAUUGACACUUUGGAGGCUCAGGGUUUUCGUUAAAGAUGCUUUAAAAGUUAUGGGAAGUAAGUCCCUGGGCAUGAAUGGGAACAAUAACAAUGGUGAUGAAAACAAGGAUAUCAACAUCAAUAACAAGAAGAGCAAGAACGCCGUCACCACUGCCACCACGUACACCAACAACAAACGAAGAAGAGAGAUUUGUGAUGUUAUUACCAGAACAUCUACUAAGAAGACUAGGAGGAUCUCCCUCAUUUUAUGACCUACAAUUUCUGGAAGUUCUGCUUUUUCUUUUGUCAUUAUGUGAAGUUGUCUUAGAGUUGGGUCAGAUGGAGAAGACGGACAAGUUCCGAUGCUUACUGGUGAGGCAUGAAAUAUGGACAACUAGGGCUACUGGCGUAAAUGAGCUAAGUAGAAUAGCUCAAACUUGAUUCGAUUCUAAAAUUCGAAGUUUGAAAUUGGACUCAGC
rnacentral:misc_RNA from 1 species